rnacentral:rRNA from 1 species
AUUGAACGCUGGCGGCAGGCCUAACACAUGCAAGUCGAGCGAGCGGCGGACGGGUGAGUAAUGUAUGGGGACUGCCCGAUCGAGGGGGAUAACUACUGGAAACGGUGGCUAAUACCGCAUACUACCGGAUCACCCAUAGGGGCGUAGCUAGUAGGUGGGGUAAAGGCUCACCUAGGCGACGAUCGCUAGCUGGGCUGAGAGGAUGAUCAGCAACACUGGGACUGAGACACGGCCCAGACUCCUACGGAGGCAGCAGUGGGGAAUAUUGCACAAUGGGCGCAAGCCUGAUGAAGCCAUGCCGCGUGUAUGAAGAAGGCCUUAGGGUUGUAAAGUACUGUCAGCAGGGAGGCGUUACCCGCAGAAGAAGCACCGGCUAACUCCGUGCCAGCAGCCGCGGUAAUAC